rnacentral:rRNA from 1 species
AGCCCUAUAGUUUGAAACCCCGAAACCAGGUGAGCUACCCCGAGACAGCCUAUUUAAACUUAGGGCUAACCCGUCUCUGUGGCAAAAGAGUGGGAAGAGCUCCGGGUAGAAGUGACAGACCUACCGAACCUGGUGAUAGCUGGUUGCCUGAGAAAUGGAUAAAAGUUCAGCCUCGUACGCCCCUAGUCAAAUAAAUAUAAUAUUAAGACACAGGGAAAUAUACGAGAGUUAGUUAAAGGGGGUACAGCCCCUCUAACAAAGGAUACAACCUUCACAGGUGGAUAAAGAUCACAAUAUACAAAAUAUACUGUUUUAGUGGGCCUAAAAGCAGCCAUCUAAACAGAAAGCGUUAAAGCUCAGACAGAAUACAAUUUAUUAUACUGAUAAUAAAUCUUACUCCCCUAAAAAUAUCAGGCUAACCCAUGCACCCAUGGAAGAAAUUAUGCUAAAAUGAGUAACAAGAAGACCCGCUCUUCUCCAAGCACAAGUGUAAGCUAGAUCGGACUAACCACUGGAAAUUAACGAACCCAACCCAAGAGAGUAUUGUGAAUAACAAAAAAGCCAAGAAAAACCCACAAUUAAUAUAAUCGUUAACCCCACACUGGAGUGCUAUUUUAAAGGAAAGACUAAAAGAAGGGAAAGGAACUCGGCAAACACAAGCCUCGCCUGUUUACCAAAAACAUCGCCUCCUGCAACUAAAUUGAGUAUAGGAGGUCCAGCCUGCCCAGUGACUACGGGUUCAACGGCCGCGGUAUUUUGACCGUGCAAAGGUAGCGCAAUCACUUGUCUUUUAAAUAGAGACCUGUAUGAAUGGCCAAACGAGGGCUUAACUGUCUCCCCCUUCCAGUCAGUGAAAUUGAUCUAUCCGUGCAGAAGCGGGUAUAAACAUACAAGACGAGAAGACCCUUUGGAGCUUAAGGUACAAAAUCCAACCACGUCAAGCAACUUAACAAAAAGCAAGAACUUAAUGGAAAAUGGAAUUUUACCUUCGGUUGGGGCGACCGCGGAGGAAAAACAAGCCUCCGAGUGGAAUGGGCUAAAUCCCUAAAGCCAAGAGAAACAUCUCUAAGCCGCAGAACAUCUGACCAAAAAUGAUCCGACUAAUAAAGUCGAUCAACGAACCAAGUUACCCUAGGGAUAACAGCGCAAUCCUCUCCCAGAGUCCAUAUCGACGAGGGGGUUUACGACCUCGAUGUUGGAUCAGGACAUCCUAAUGGUGCAGCCG